rnacentral:rRNA from 1 species
UAACGGCUCACCAAGGCGACGAUCCCUAGCUGGUCUGAGAGGAUGACCAGCCACACUGGAACUGAGACACGGUCCAGACUCCUACGGGAGGCAGCAGUGGGGAAUAUUGCACAAUGGGCGCAAGCCUGAUGCAGCCAUGCCGCGUGUAUGAAGAAGGCCUUCGGGUUGUAAAGUACUUUCAGCGGGGAGGAAGGUGUUGUGGUUAAUAACCGCAGCAAUUGACGUUACCCGCAGAAGAAGCACCGGCUAACUCCGUGCCAGCAGCCGCGGUAAUACGGAGGGUGCAAGCGUUAAUCGGAAUUACUGGGCGUAAAGCGCACGCAGGCGGUCUGUCAAGUCGGAUG